AGAGUUUGAUCCUGGCUCAGGAUGAACGCUGGCGGCGUGCCUAAUACAUGCAAGUCGAACGAAACUUCUUUAUCACCGAGUGCUUGCACUCACCGAUAAAGAGUUGAGUGGCGAACGGGUGAGUAACACGUGGGCAACCUGCCCAAAAGAGGGGGAUAACACUUGGAAACAGGUGCUAAUACCGCAUAACCAUAGUUACCGCAUGGUAACUAUGUAAAAGGUGGCUAUGCUACCGCUUUUGGAUGGGCCCGCGGCGCAUUAGCUAGUUGGUGAGGUAAAGGCUUACCAAGGCAAUGAUGCGUAGCCGAACUGAGAGGUUGAUCGGCCACAUUGGGACUGAGACACGGCCCAAACUCCUACGGGAGGCAGCAGUAGGGAAUCUUCCACAAUGGGCGAAAGCCUGAUGGAGCAACGCCGCGUGGGUGAAGAAGGUCUUCGGAUCGUAAAACCCUGUUGUUAGAGAAGAAAGUGCGUGAGAGUAACUGUUCACGUUUCGACGGUAUCUAACCAGAAAGCCACGGCUAACUACGUGCCAGCAGCCGCGGUAAUACGUAGGUGGCAAGCGUUAUCCGGAUUUAUUGGGCGUAAAGGGAACGCAGGCGGUCUUUUAAGUCUGAUGUGAAAGCCUUCGGCUUAACCGGAGUAGUGCAUUGGAAACUGGGAGACUUGAGUGCAGAAGAGGAGAGUGGAACUCCAUGUGUAGCGGUGAAAUGCGUAGAUAUAUGGAAGAACACCAGUGGCGAAAGCGGCUCUCUGGUCUGUAACUGACGCUGAGGUUCGAAAGCGUGGGUAGCAAACAGGAUUAGAUACCCUGGUAGUCCACGCCGUAAACGAUGAAUGCUAAGUGUUGGAGGGUUUCCGCCCUUCAGUGCUGCAGCUAACGCAAUAAGCAUUCCGCCUGGGGAGUACGACCGCAAGGUUGAAACUCAAAGGAAUUGACGGGGGCCCGCACAAGCGGUGGAGCAUGUGGUUUAAUUCGAAGCAACGCGAAGAACCUUA
rnacentral:rRNA from 1 species